rnacentral:lncRNA from 10 species
CCAACAAAUGCCUUCGGUUUGUCUGAAAAAGACUUUAACUUUUCUUCAAUACUAAGGUACUGGAGGUUUCUAUCAAGAUAUCUUUAAGCCCACUGAUUCUUUCCUUGGCCAUGUCUGAUUUACAGGUGAUAGGUAAUGAAGAUCUUCACCGGAAUUGGCCUCUUGAUCUUGGACUUUCCAGCCUCCAGAACUGCAAGCCAAAUAAACAUAUUGUGUAUAAAUCAUCCAAUCUGUGGUAUUCUGUUAUAACAGCAAAAAGUGAACUGAGACAGUUUAUUCUUUAGGACUCUGCAGAAAGUUCCCACAACCCAGAAGAAUCUUACCAGAUGUGGUCUCUCAACUUCAGAGUUCUCACCCUAUAUAACUACCACAGAUCUCACAGGUGGUCUCAUUGCUGAAGUCCCUUUAAGAGUACCUGGAAAUAACGAACCCAAAUGGCCAUCAAUGAUAGACUGGAUUAAGAAAAUGUGGCAC